AAAGGGGUGCUAAUACCGCAUGACAUCCUGUCUUUGAACAGAUGGACAUUAAAGCGGUCCUAGCUUAAGACCUGGCGCUCGAGGAGGGGCUCGCGUCCGAUUAGCUAGUUGGUGGGGUAAUGGCCUACCAAGGCGACGAUCGGUAGCCGGCCUGAGAGGGCGGACGGCCACACUGGGACUGAGACACGGCCCAGACUCCUACGGGAGGCAGCAGUGGGGAAUUGUUCGCA
rnacentral:rRNA from 1 species